rnacentral:rRNA from 1 species
UAAUACAUGCAAGUCGAACGAACCAUCCUGAAGAUUGAAGCUUGCUUCAUGAUUCAGACCUUGGUGAGUGGCGGACGGGUGAGUAACACGUGGGUAACCUGCCCAAAAGUGGGGGAUAACAUUUGGAAACAAGUGCUAAUACCGCAUAACAACUACUUUCACAUGAUCGUAGCUUGAAAGAUGGCUCUGCUAUCGCUUUUGGAUGGACCCGCGGCGUAUUAGCUAGUUGGUGAGGUAAUAGCUCACCAAGGCAAUGAUACGUAGCCGACCUGAGAGGGUAAUCGGCCACAUUGGGACUGAGACACGGCCCAAACUCCUACGGGAGGCAGCAGUAGGGAAUCUUCCACAAUGGGCGAAAGCCUGAUGGAGCAAUGCCGCGUGAGUGAAGAAGGUUUUCGGAUCGUAAAACUCUGUUGUUGAAGAAGAACAUGCGUGAGAGUAACUGUUCACGUACUGACGGUAUUCAACCAGAAAGCCACGGCUAACUACGUGCCAGCAGCCGCGGUAAUACGUAGGUGGCAAGCGUUGUCCGGAUUUAUUGGGCGUAAAGAGAAUGUAGGCGGUUUAUUAAGUUUGAAGUGAAAGCCCUCGGCUCAACCGAGGAAGUGCUUCGAAAACUGGUAAACUUGAGUGCAGAAGAGGAAAGUGGAACUCCAUGUGUAGCGGUGGAAUGCGUAGAUAUAUGGAAGAACACCAGUGGCGAAGGCGGCUUUCUGGUCUGUAACUGACGCUGAGAUU